rnacentral:lncRNA from 1 species
CCUCCGUAAGUACGCGGUGAAAGACGAAUGUACCAGCAUCUUCUCUUGGUAUAGCAUGUGUAUUUGUGGUUGUUAUGUUUUGAGGUUGUUGAAUGUAAAGAGAUAGAUCAAGCCAUGGUCUUGAAUGGAUCUUUUUAUGUGAAACAGGUGAUACCAAAGAUUAUAACAAUUAUAUGGUCAAAGAAAUAGAUUUAAAAUCCAAUAUCAAAUUGUAUUGAGUAUCGACUCUACAUGUGAAUGUUCAGAGCUUAAAAAGGUUACGAAUGAAGUGAACCUUUUCUGCACCAUCUCUUAGCUUUUUUGCGGCCAUUGAGGGCAGGAACGAAUAUGGUAACAUUAUAGCACUACGGUUGUUUCGAUCCUUGCAUUCCAUACACCUGGAAAGCCAUCAUUAGCACCUUGAAUUCAGAAGAAUCUCUGCUUGAUUAUUUUAUGAUUAAUCAUCUUCACAGUAGCACCACAAUGGCAUUUUGUAAGGCAUGAUUCAAACCUCAACUUAGUUGAGUUAUAAUGCAAAUAAAACUUCAUAUUCAAGUACAUCAGGCAAUAUAUCGAACUCAUAAUUAGACAUUGGUCAUGUCAUAUCUGUUAGUUUUAAAUUUAAUGGAUUAUAUAAAUUUCUCUCUGUUACAUACCAGCUUCUGAAAUUCUGCAAGUUCAAAUUGAAUUCUUUAAAUGAGAAAAUAUAGGUUAACUAGUUAAUACGAGUCUCAAUGUGGACUGAAGUCAAAAACUCAUGUCACUGGCUUCAUUUUGUUUCCCCCAACCCUACACAUUGGUUUUGUCAUUUGUUAAUGUUUGGAAAAUGAAAUGGAUUUCAAAUUUAUAUAUCUUUUUAGGGUUAAUUAAGUUUUUAAUCCCUAUAAAUAUUCACAGUUUUGUUUUUAGUCCCUACAAAAUAAAAUCACAUUUUUAGUUUCUAUAAAAUUUUUUAAAUUUAAAAUAAAAAACCAUCAGAUCGAGAUUGGACGGUUACUGAUGUUUCAACUACUUGAUUGUAGAAAACCUAUAAGUGCAUCAAACCUCAUUUUAGAAAAAUAUGAUUAAGAUAAAUCGAAGUCCAACUCAUUUCAACUUGAUAAAUUUUCAAAUUUAUUCUUGACUUUAUAGAGUUCCAUCAACUUAGUUCUUUUGGCAAGACAACUUUUAUUUUGUGAAAUACUAUUGCACAUAGCUACAUUCUCAAAGUAAAACAUCACAACAAAUAAAAGUGACUUGGUAAAAUUUUCUUAAAAUUUGUUCAAAGAUUACAGUUUACUAAAUUGAUAAUGUAAGACAAAUCUAUAUCUUAUUAAAGACAAAUUCUUUUUUUUAAAGACUCUAAGACUCUAUUUAGUAAAAAUAACGGAUAGUUAUAAGCUAACUUAUAAUUCAUAACUGAUGAAUGAUAGCUUUUAGCUGAUAGCUCAUAUCUAAUGGUUGAUGAUUGAUAGCUGAUAAUUGGUAAAAUUAAUGGUUCAACUAACUAACAAACGUAAAAUGGUAUAAAAGAACAUUCUUAGUUCAUAAUAAAAUCCACAACAAUUAAUAUACAUUAUUAUUAUUAUUAAAUUAAUUAUUUUCCGCUACAAGCUAGAUUAUUUUUCUUGCCAAACUGAACUCUUACAAAACCUAUUUAAAACAAAUUCUCCAAGUUUGCUCCUACGAUUUCCUCUCUCAUUUCUUCUUCUUCACAAAACGAACGGUUCUCAUAAGAAAAAUUCUUAGGUGAACUCUAACAUGACAUAUCAUCCUUACACUCAUCCAAUUAAAACAAAACACCUCAUAAUAAAAUAAAAUUUUAAAAUUAGAUAUUUCUUUUUAGUAUUGAUCAUCUCACUUUUCUUAAACCGAACAGCGCCACCACCUUAAUUUUUUUUUUCUGACAAAUUUUUGAGACUAAUUUUCCUAUUUUCUUGAAUCAUCUCAUUACCAUUGGAAUUUUUCUCUCCAACUUUUGGUAGGUAACAUUUUGUAAGGCAUGAUUCAAACCUCAACUUAGUUGAGUUAUAAUGCAAAUAAAACUUCAUAUUCAAGUACAUCAGGCAAUAUAUCGAACUCAUAAUUAGACAUUGGUCAUGUCAUAUCUGUUAGUUUUAAAUUUAAUGGAUUAUAUAAAUUUCUCUCUGUUACAUACCAGCUUCUGAAAUUCUGCAAGUUCAAAUUGAAUUCUUUAAAUGAGAAAAUAUAGGUUAACUAGUUAAUACGAGUCUCAAUGUGGACUGAAGUCAAAAAUACAUUAGUAUGUAGGGAAAGUGUCAAAUCUAAUGAAAAUUCCGUACCAUAAUAAAUUUUGUUGUAAAUGAUAAGGAUCAUGAUCAUGUUCGUAGCUUGUAAGUAUCACCAAUUACACACAGAAAAUUUGCAACCCACAAUUUCAUAUUCAUUGUUGUGUGUAUGCGCCUAAGUAAUUUCAUUGAUAAUUGUGUCUAUGCAAGACUAACUCGCCGCCUUGGGUCUAUUAUCGUUGCAUUGAUUAAUGGGCUGGAAGAGGAGUAAACUAUGUUUUCUUUUUCAAUUUAAUUAAUAAUGCUUAUCCACUUUUCAUAUCGUUAUUUUUCCAUUUCACACUACAAAUUAGUUAAAUAUAUCUUCAUAAAAAGUCAAUUCAUGUAUAUCAUUUGAAGUUUCACAUAAAGUGAAUAUUUGUUUAUAUUAUAGACAAUUUAUUAAAAAUAAAUGAAUCUUUGUUACUUAUUUUUCGACAAAAUAUUUGUUACAAUUAGAUACAUUUUAUUUAAACGAUGAAUUGGUUUUAUUAGAAUUAUAAUUUUUAUUUUGUGGCUUUUUCCGUAAGAAAUUUGAUUAUUAUUUAGUUGUACAUAUUUUACAAAUGAAUUUUUGUUUCUAUUAGAUAGAUUUUAGAAUUGAAUAUUCGUUUCGAUUAGACAUGUUCAUAAAAAAUAAAUGAAUCUUUGUGACUUAUUUUUAAUAAAAAAUCUUUGUUACUAUUAAAUAUAUUUUAUAAAUGAAUAUUUUGUUUCAUUAAAUUUAUAAAAUUUUUGGUGAGUUUUUCCAUAGGAUAUUUUAUAAAUUUUAUAAAUGAAUAUUUUGUUUCAUUAACUUUAUAAAUUUAUAAAGUUUCAUUAUUUACUUAUUUUAUUUAUUUAUACAUAUUUUGUAAAUGAAUCUUUGUUUCUAUUAGAUCUAUUUUAUAAAUGAAUAUUUGUUUUUAUUAUAUAUGAUUUAUAAAAAAUAAACGAAACUUUGUUACUAUUGGAUAUAUUUUAUAUAUGAAUAAUUUGGUAUAUAAUUUAAAAUAAUAAAUAUACAAUAUUUCUCGUAAAGCAGAAUAACACCACAAUCUCCCUAAAAAAAAAAAAAAUAACAACACAAUCAACUCUGUAUGAUUAUCUUUAAAAAAAAAAAACUCUGAUUAUUUGGUAAUUAAAGGUUUGAAUACAUGAAAGAUCUUGUUAAUGAGUGCCACCAGAGCACUUUUAAGCUUUCUAAAUUAAGUAAUUAUUUUUUAAAAAUGUCAAACUUUUUCAAUUUUCAAUGCACUAAUAACACUAACUUUCAUAAAAAUUUACUAUUUAAGAUCCUUCAAUAGUGUCCGGGGCACCGGUUAACAUUUCUUAUAAAUGAUGCGAAUUUUCUUAAAAAAUAAUGAAUGAUGCAAAUUUAUACAAUAAAUGUGACACGUUUUCUUUUUUAAGGAAGAAAGAAUAAAUGGGACACGUAUUAUUUAAUAAUUUUAAUAAUUGCGGAAAAACAUUAAUUAUAAAUUCACGACAUUAAUUCACUUGAAACAUAUCAAGGUACCGUUUGGCCGGGUUUUUUUUCCAGCUUUUCUACAUUUUUAAGGAGAAGUUAGGCCAAACACAAUAUCAAUAAAGUACCUUAAAAAAAAAAUACCUUUUUUAGAAUGCGUAAAAUUGAAUGGAAUGAGCUUUAACCAAAAGUUGUUGAAUGCUACUUCAAAAAACUACUUCUCUGCAAUUUAUUUCACAAACACCUCUCUUCAACUCACACGGCAACAUAUUCUUUUAUUUUUUAAUAUUAUAUUUCAAUUUAUUUUUUUUUCUUCCAUUUAAUUUAAUUUUAUUUUUUUGAACCGGUCCAUAUAAUUUUUCUUUGAAGGAGGGUCCAUUUAAUUUAUUUUUUUUAGAGAAGGGUCCAUUUAAUUUUAUAAUCUAUUAUUGAAGGAAUUUUAUUAUAUUUUUUAUCACUUAUAUAUUUAAUUUCAAUAUCGUUUAAUUAUCACAACCUCGCAAAUAUUUUUAUUCAUGCUGUCAUUGAAUGACACCAAAUAUUUUUAUUCCCUUUCUUCAACCUCACAAAUAUACACACACACAUUAGCAUUUAAAGUGAUAUUUUAUGUCCGUAUGUAUGUUUUUUGUUACGUUAAUGCGUAUAAAUUUUUAAUGUUGUGUCGUAUAAUUAUUUUUAUAAAAUUUUGAUUUUAAUUAAAAGUACAAGUAUAGAUGCGUAAAAAAAAUACUUAUAUAUAUAUAUAUAUAUAUAUAUAUAUAUAUAUAUAUAUUACACAUUUAUAUUGUAACAAACUAUGCAUAUCUUUUUCUUAUUAAAAAAACUAAACAUAUCUUUUUCAAUGACACCAACAAUGUAACAAAUAUAAUAUCAUAUAAUAUAAAUUUUUAUCUUUUUAAAUGACACCAAAAUUAUGGUAUUCUUAUAACAAAAUUUGUUAUAUAGUAUAAUUGGAAAAGAAAAAAAUAUAUGCAUGGUCCUGGGUUCGAAUCCCGGACACCACAAAAAAAUAAUAAAUUCAAAGUUUUGUACAAUAUUUUGUCAAACAGCUUUUAACUCAAAAAUAACUUUAGAACUAAAAAAAAAUAAAGAAACCGCUUUAGCCUUUUUCUUAAAGAGCUUUAUUUUAACUUUGUUUUAAAGUAGCUUUUAGACCGAAAAAAAGCCUGGCCAAACGGUACCCAAUUAGAGCCAAGAGUAACCAUAGACAUGUACUACUAUCAUGACAUGGUAUGAGAAGUGUAUGUACAAAUAAUGAUUUUAAUGUUUGUAAAAAAAAAAAAUGUUAAUCGGUGCCCUGGGUGGGUCAAAGAAUUAAGAAAGAAUAUUUUUUUGGGAAAUUUUAUAUUCUAUAAUUCUUUUAUUUAAAAGUUGAAAUAUUGCUCUUUUUAAUGUAAAUCAUAUAUAUUUUCUUUCUAUUUUUAGCUUCUCAACCUAUGCCAUAAUGACACUUAUAAAUAAAACCGCUAUUUUGCACUUUUUCACUGUCAUUUGGUCUGCUUGAUUGCACAAUCCAUCAUGGUUGUCUCCUUUAAAGUGUCAAAAAUUGGAAUUAGGUUUAACCCUAAACCUAAAACUAAUCCCAUGCCCCCGCCUCUUCAACCUUCCCAAGAUGACCAAACUCAGGUAGACCUAAAGCUAAUCCCAUUCCCCUUCCUCUUUGCAUUUUUUUUCUCUUUGUGAAUUACUUCUUUUUAUUUACCAAAUUUUAUCACCAUUUUAUAUAUAGUUUUACUGUUGCAUACUGUUUAUAAGGUUGAACUUUGAUCAAUUAUGUAACACUCCAGGUGCGUGAUUAUCGAAGAUACUCUACCGUGAGUAAAGUAUGCCUUAAGAUGUCAUUGGAAAAUAUUGUGAAGGACAUCAUCCCAUCUCUUAGUGAUAAGUCUUGGACAUAUGGUGAUAUUAUGGUGAGUAUUAUUCACCAAAUAAUCAUGAAUGACCAAUGCGCCUAAUUAUUUUAUAGAUCUUACUUAACUAUGUUCUCAUUGAUAAUAGGAAGUUGAAUCAAAGAUAGUGAAAGCGUUACAUCCAAACCUUCAUCUAAAUUCUACUCCAAAGUUGAAUCGACUGUGUCAAAAUCCACUUGCAACAAAGGUAUAAACAAGUUAGUUGGAUAUAUUUUACAAAUAAAUCUUUGUUUAUAUUAUAUAGACACGAUUCACAAAAAAUAAAUGGAUAUUUGUGACUUUUUUUAAAAAUAAAAAAAUCUUUGUUACUAUUAGUUAUACAUAUUUUGCAAAUUCUUUAAAAUAAUUCUUUGAUUAUUUUUUUAUUUAGUUAUACAUAUUUUGCAAAUUUUUCUUUGUUUCUAUUAGAUCUAUUUUAUAAAUGAAUAUUCAUUAUAUUUUGUUACUAUUGGAUAUAUUUUAUAAAUGAAUAAUUGGUUUUAUUAAUUUUAUAAUUACGUAUACAAACUCAUGACAAUUUUAUAUAGAUAUUAAAAUUUGGUUUAAAUACAUUUUUAUUUUGUUGCUUAUAUUUGUAGAUCAUUUAAAAAUAGUUAGAACAUUCCACUUUUACCCUAAAAAAAUAGUUAGAUUAGACCACUGAAUUUUUUUUAAGGAAGACCAUUGAAUUUUUAAAAACUAAAAUGAAAAAACAAUCAGUAGUUCUUAAAAAAAAAAAAAACAAUCAGUAGUGGCGUUGCAAAAACUAUAUUUAUAUACACCCAAUAAAAAGCUAACAUAUGUAGCCGUUCAUUGGAUACUUAUUCAGACACCUGCUAUAUAACAUACAACUAAUUGACAGAAUUUAAUUAAUAUAUUAAACAUUUUUUUGAAGAAUUUAAUAUAUUAAACAUAAUAAGUUUAACAAUAAGAAUAUUUUAUACUAUGUAUAUACCUUGUAAUUAGUAUUGAAAUAUCUUAAUCCUCCUUAUAUACGAUAUAUAGAUAAUAUAACAACUAAACAAUAUUACGAUAAUAAUUUUUUAUGUUAAAUUCAAUUUAUAAUUAUACUUAUAACUUUAAUAUAAAAUAAUAUUAUUUUAAGUAUUAAUUUUUUUUACUUAGCACGGUAUCACACCUGUUAACUUUGAUAGGAUUUUUGGUUUUCAGGGUGUUUUAUAUUGAAGUACAAGUGACUUGACUUUGUAAUUCUUUGAGGAUGAUUCUCUUUUGCACACCUUGUACAAGAUGAACCAUCUCCAUAUUUAAUGUUAUAUUUCAUUUUAGCUUGUUAAAAAAAAAAAAAAAAUUACAAAGAGUAACAAAUUGCGAAUAGAUAAACAAAUUAAAGAAAUGAAAUAUUGUACUAAAAAUAGAACGGCAAAUUCUGCAUUAACAUGACUACAUAGAAAAAAAGGAAUAACACCACAAUCAACUCUAUAAAAUAAUAAAUACAGAUGAUAGUAUGAUUAUUUGGUAAUUAAAGUGCUGAAUGCAUGAGUGAUACGAAUUUUUCUUAAAAAGAAAAUGAAUGAUUCAUAUUUAUAAGGAAGAAUAAACGUGACACGUUAUUAUUUUAAUAAUUGUGAAAAGACAUUUAUUGUAAAACUACAACAUUAUUACUUUGAAACAUACCCUUUUCUCUUCAACCUUCCCAAGAUGAAUUUUAGGUGGUCUUGCUAUUUAUUUUUUUCUUUCUAAAGUUUACAGUUUUGUUGUUAUGUCUAUUAUAUUAUGGUGUUUCUGUUUGUGAUCGUUUUUUUAUAUUUGUGAUUUUAGAGAUGAAAAUAAUGCUAUGAACAUAUAAAAAUGAAUUUUGUAUGUUGUUAUUUUUUACUUGGCACUCAAGUUAGGUUUAGGAUUUUUAUUGCUGGUUUUAAUUUUUUUUUGUAUAGGCUGGUGAAAACAUUGAUGGGAUGCCUAAUUCAUCUGAAAAGCAUUCAUUAAUAAAAGGUUAGUUAUUAGAGAGUUUAUUGGUUUUUUAAUUUGUGUUUAAAUCAUUGAGUGUAGUGUAUUGAAGGUUGUUUUGAUUUGAUAGGAAAUGAAGUUUCUUUUACGCUGAAUCUGUAUCCGGAUGGUUAUUUCAUUGGAAAACCUCGCAAGGUUUUGUCCAAAUGUAGCAUUAAUAUUUCGCUAUUGUAGAGUCUUUUAGCUCAACUAGUUAUUCUAAGUUGUGUGAGUUAUGAUUUUUCAGUAUGAUGCUGCAAAUCAGUUACCGAAGUCAUUACUUCCUUAUGAUAGGUCAUCUGAAACCAUAUUCUCGGUAACUCUUGAAAUUUUAUAAUCGGCUUUUAGUUAUUUCAGUUUAAACUUCUAUGUUCUAAUAAAACCUUAUAUUUUAGACAACUAUGAUGUACAAGACCUUUUUUUGCGAAGUUGUGUUAUGAUAAAAACCCUAUGUACAAGACCUUUUUUGCGAAGUUGUGUUAAGACCAAAACUUAAGGGCUAGUUUGGUUUGGGAGAGGGGAGGUAAUAUUUUUAAAAAUAUGUGUUUGAUUCAAUUUGUAAGAGGGGGAGAGGAAAAGAGAGAUGAAUUAAUACGAUUUUAAUUUUAAAUUUUAUUGACAUAAUUGUUUUCUUCUUUUUUUAUGCGAAUUGUUUUCUUCUUUUUUACUCUUACGUGUUCUUUUCUUCUUAUUUUAUGAGAAUUAUUUUCUUGUUUUUUUACUAACAUUACCUGCUUUAUCAAUAAUUUUUUUGAUUAAUUUUUGUGUCACGUAAUAAAAAUAUUUUUUAUAUUGUAGUAGCAGCUUUCUUAUAUGCAAAAUGGUAACAAGUAUCCUUAAAGUAUUUGUUAAGAAGCUUAAAAAAGAAGAGUUAUAUUGAAAAUGAUAUAUUCAACACCUUAAAACUUUAAAAAGGAAUUUUUUUCUACAUCAAAUUUAUAAUUUAUUUCUAUUUUUAAGUUUUUAACUAGUGUCUAAGGGCACUUGUUAACAUAACCCUUUUUAUAUUUACUUUAACAACUCCCUAAUAAAAAACUUAUGAUUAACAUGUGGUGUUUAUUUUUUUAUUUUUUAACAAUAAAUGCUGUAUUUUUUUUUUACUUGACUCGAUUUAAUUAAUUCUUAAUGACUCUUAUAAUUCAUAAUCUGAGUCGGGUGCUUCUGCCUAAGAGAUGAACUACUUGUAGCGCAUCAAUGCUUGCUUCUAAUGCAAUCAAUGAUUUUGGUUAUGAAUUUAGGGUUUAAAAUUGAAAGAAAUUGAGAGAAGAAAGAGAAUAUUAAUUGUUGUAAUCUUAUGAGUUUUAUUAAUUGUGAAAAGUGACUACAUCAUGUCUUAUAUAAGAAGCUUAUUUACAUCGCUUGUUUAGUAAGCUAUCUAAACAAACAUAACAAACUUAGCUAGAUUACCUAACUAACUUGUAACAAACUUUUAUACCCCAAUAUGUAUAAUAUAUACCCGAACGGGUAUAUAGUCUAAACUUGUUCAACCUUUCAAUCUUAACUGCCUUAGUGAAUAUGUCAGGAAGUUGCAGCUCAGUAGAACAAUGGAAAUCUUUAGAGCCCCUUUGUUUACUUAUUCCCUAAGAAAAUGAAACUUUACUUCAAUUUGAUGAUCAUAAAUUGUUUCCCCACAAGCCUUCAUCUGAUUUACAACAUUAUUCAGUUUGGAGAUGUAAUCAACAAUCUUUUGCUCAUCUUCCAUUUGCAUCAUUUCAAACUUUCUUCUUAAAGACUGAAGCUUUAUCUCUUUCACCUUAGCAUCACCUUCAUAACAUCUUUCAAGAAUAUCCAAAGCCUCCUUAGACUUUGUGGAUUUUGAGAUUCUUUCAAAAUUUCCUGAAUCUACACUUUGUUGAAUGAAGAAAAGUGCCUUGCAGUCCUUCUUCUUAAAUUCUUUGUAUGCAUUCCUCUGCACCUCAGUAGAAUUUUCACCAAAUUCAUCAUAAUCGUUUUGCACAAUUUCCAGCAAAUCUUGUGCCCCAAAAAAGUUCUUCAUUAGUGCACCCCACCUUUCUCAGUUUCCACUUUCAAGAGUUGGAAGAUUGGUAUUGAAACUGUUGUUUUCAUUCAUGGCUUCACUCCCAGUGUUUCUACACCUUGAUUACCUGCGUGAUUGAAGUUUCUCGCUUCCUUGAAUCAGAACCAGAAGCUAUGGAUACCAAUUUGAUAGCGCAUCAGUGCUUGCUUCUAAUGCAAACAAUGGUUUUGUUUAUGAAUUUAGGGUUUGAAAUUGAGAGAAAUUGGGAGAAUAAAGAGAUGAUUAAUUGUUGUAAUCUUAUGAGUUUCAUUAGUUGUGAAAAGUGAUUACAUCAUGCCUUAUAUAAAAAGCUUAUUCACAUUGCUUGCUUAGUAAGCUAUCUAAACAAACAUAACAAAUAUAGCUAGAUUACCUAACUAACUUGUAACAAACUUCUAUACCCCAACAGGGUCUAUAUAGUCUAAACUUGAAUUAAAACUAACAGUUUCUACCUUCUUACAUUGUGUACCUCAUAGUUAUGCUUUUGUCUAAAUCACCAUCUUAUUUUUUCUUAAUUUUGUAUUUGUCUGCUGCAUAUGUUAAGUAUUACAUUUCAUGUACUUACCUUCCUAUUCCUAUCAUUAUGUGUUUGGAGGCCAUUGAGUCAGGUCACUUGCCUGGGGAUAUUCUGGAUGAUAUACCAGUCAAGUAUGUUGAUGGAGCACUUAUAUGCGAGGUGAUUCUUGCUUAUUUUUUGCAUGCUUUACUUUUAAAGGCAACAUUUAAAUUUCUAUCUAAAUGGUUGAGCUUUGAUCAAUUCUGUAACACUUCAGGUUCGUGAUUAUCGAAGAUGUUCUCCUGCUGUGAGUAAAUCAAGCCUCAAGAUGUCAUUGGAAAAUAUUGUGAAGGACAUCCCAUCUCAUACUGACAAGUCUUGGAAAUAUGGUGAUGUAAUGGUUAGUAUAAUUCACCAAUCAUGAAUGAAACCAAUACGUGUGUGGGUGUGUAUUAUAGGUAUAGAUCUCACUUAACUAUGUUCUCAUUGAUAAUAGGAAGUUGAAUCAAAGAUUGUGAAAGAAUUACAUCCAAACCUUCAUCUAGAUCCUACUCCGAAGUUGGAUCAACUAUGUCAAAGUCCACUUCAAAAAAAGGUAUAAAAAAGUUAAUUAGAUUCUCCCCUAAUGAAAUUAUUCUGUGUGAUGUAUGCAUCCUAAUGACGUUGAACUUGUGUUUCAGCCCAAUUUGCAGAUAAAGCGACCGAGGAAUGCUGUCACUUCUAGUAAUAAAAUAGAUGGGGAAAAAGUCCGUAUAGAUAGAGUGCUAGAGAAUUCAAAAAGCAGGCUGGGUGAUUCAAGAAUCACUACAUCAAAUGCUAUUGUGAAACAGACUCUUGAAAAUCCAGCAAUGCAGAAUCUUAAUCCAAGCAUUGCCAUGAGAUCAAAGAAUAUUGUACUAGAUUCUUCCAUCCCAGGCUUUUCUAUGAUCUCCCAUCAAUCAAAAUAUCCAAUGGCUGUCGGAACUCCAAGAAGCUUGCAGGAGCGCCGAUUAAUUGCUGGUAUAAAUUCAUCUGGGGCUUCUGCUGUACAAGAUGUCAUGUAUUCAUAUGCGGAUAAUCCAAACCUGAGUGCCACUCUUCUUGUAAAAAGAGAGAAUCCAGAUAGAGAAUCACCAUCUUUAUCGAAUAUUGCAAAAAGAAUGAGGUCUGCUUCCACAGGUGUUGAUACAAUGCAGCAAAUAGACUCGCAUGUUAACGCUCUUCAAGGAUCGGAUAUGAAUUGGCAGGAUACAUUAUUACAGCAACAAGCAAUGGCCAGAGGUAUUCAGUAUACUGGGAGUGGCAUUCAGAUGUUUCCACAGCAGGUUUUUGAAGGGGGGUUAAAUCAACAGUCAGGGGGCACUCAAUUUGCUUCUAGUCAGCAAGGCAUGAGGUUAGUCGCCAAGGCACAACAAUUUGAUACAGAAAGAAUAGAUGGUGCAGGGAUAAAGUGCAAUUUAGACCCACAACAAGUACGGCUUCAACAAAGAAUGGCACAACAUGCAUCCAUGAGACCUAAUUUCCCACAGACAACCUCGAAUAGUCCUCAGUUAUCUAAUGGGAUAUUACCUCACUCGCUAAUGCUAUUAUCUUCAAAAUCUGGUGAAUUUUCUAAGGGUUCAGUUGGACUAAGUUCUAGACCGUCUUCAAUGAAAAAUGCAUCUGGAGCAUUACAGAAAAAGAAGGAUGCAACUUAUUCAAGAAAAAAGAAAGAAGAGAAGACUGCAAUGGCUUCACAUACAGCUGCUGUUGGAACUCCAUCUACAAAGGCAACAACAGACACACCUAGCUGCAAAAUGGAUAAUCUAAUUCCCUUCCCAAGACCCCAACAAUGAGUGGAGUUGCUUCUCCUGAUAGUGUUAUUACUAGUGUCGCAUUUCUCCAAGUAAUUGGAUCCCAACAAUUUAGUGCUAGCAUUUUCUUUCAGUAUCAAUUAUUAAAUAGUGCAUGAAUAUUGAGAAGCUGAGAAUGCUUUUUACAUUUCUAUCAUCUGCUCAGACAUUCUGCAUUGUAUCAGGAACACUACAACUCUUAUUUUGUAAUUUUUUUUAAUGUUGAUAUUGGUCCAAAAAAGCAUAAACAGUUGGAUUGAUCAGUGACUCAGAUAAUUAUGCAUAGCAAUAUAUGGCAUGCUUCAUGAAUUAUUUUCAAACAUGAAAGUAGAAGACAAGACAACAUACUUAAAAUCUCUUUGAUUGCAAUUACAAGCUUAAUGAAAGUUAAUCUUAAAUCUGAAAAAUAUACCAUUUCAUGUGAGAGGUGUCUUCAAAAUCAUUGUAUUUUAAAUUCAUUUGGCAUAAAAACAUCCUUCUUAUUCAGGUUUAUGUUUUCAAAUUAAAUAAAUUAUGAUGAGAGGAAACGCACUGCAACGGAACUAAUCGAGUUGCAAUAAGGGAAUAUGACUCAGUCCCCACCUUGUAUAAUUACUAGAUAACAAUGCCCCGGAGAAUAGCCUUAAAUUUUGCUUCCAACACUAAUGAAGCUCCAAUGAAAUCAGUAUAACCAAAAGGUUUGCUAUUAUGUAACUGUGAUGUGAGACUAAAUGAGUUUCACAGCAAUUACUCACCUAAGCAUACCCUUAACUUUUGACUAACUUCUAAUUUUACUGAUUGAUGCACGUUAGACAACUCAAUAAAUAUUAGAAUGCGGGCGCACUAAUAGCAAGGAAAUUAUAUCAACUUUAAACUAUAUUGUAGGGCUUUACCCAAAAAGGGAGCCCUUCCAGAAAUUCUCAAAGGCCCAAGGCAAGCUCAGGCCCAGAGGGGGUUUGGAAAUAGUUUUCAACCAGCAAUAGACGCGCCUCAGUUAUUACCUCAUUAGCUACGUCAUUGCCCCAAGCGCAAAGAUGCUUUAAACAAAGCCUCGCUGCUUUUAUUUAUAUACACUCUAUCACUCGUCAACAUUUAACCUGGUCGAUGUGGGACUUGUACAAAUUUUAGUUCAAUACUCGCCUGUGACUCUAGUUACCAAAACUGAUCACAAAAUUAAUAACAACACAAUACUUGAUAUAUAUGUAUGAUUUCGAAGAUUCAAUCUUGUAUGUUAGUAGAAUUUUAAAAACUCUUCUGAUAUGAUAAGAAAGAAUCAGCAACCAAAAAUGAAUUAAAAAACUAAAAACUUUGCUUCAUCAUUCAUAGUAACUUUGUUGAAUGAUUUGGGAAUUCAAGCUGAAGUUUUACAUGAUAAGUUAUAGCUUCAUCACUUGUCUGUUCAUCUGUUUGAGUAAAAACUGCAACACCAUGAGCAAAUGCAAACGAACCUGUUCCUCCUACCACUCUGAAUUCUUCUCUUUCCUUAUGAGCAACUUUGAUUGCUUGCACACUCAAGCUACCUGAAUGAUCUGGUGUAUCAAAAGUGAGAUACAAAACAUUGAAUUCUGAUUGCUGAAACUGUUCCACAGGGAUUAUGAAUCCUUGUGCUUUUCCUACAACCUUUGAUGUGUUCUCUGGUCCCUCCGUAAGUACGCGGUGAAAGACAAAUGCACCAGCAUCUUCUCUUGGUAUAGCAUGUGUAUUUGAGGUUGUUAUGUUUUGAGAUUGUUGAAUGUAAAGAGAUAGAUCAAGCCAUGGUCUUGAAUGGAUCUUUUUAUGUGAAACAGGUGAUACCAAAGCUAAAACAAUCACUGCUAUUGUUGCUAGAGAAACUGCAGUAAAAAAUAUGAUCCUUGAC